GAAUAUAUAAGGGACAGUGAAGAAGAUGCACUUCAAAUGGUCAAGAACACGAAACUAUUCAAGACCAAUGAAACAAAACAGGCCUACAAGAAAGAACAAGUCAAGAACCGAGCAGAAAAAUGGAAAAAUAAGCCACUGCAUGGUUAAUAUUUGCACAAUAUAAGUGGAAAAUCAGAAAUAACCAAGAUCUGGCAAUGGCUUAAGAAUGGCAACUUGAGAAAAGAAACAGAGGGUUUAAUACUGGCUGCACAAGAACAGGCACUAAGAACAAAUGCAAUAAGAGCAAAAGUAGAAAAACCAACAACAAACAGCAAGUGCUGUCAUUGUAAAGAAGCAGAUGAAACAGUGGACCACCUAAUCAGCUCUUGUAAAAAGAUCACACAGACUGACUACAAACAAAGGCAUGACAAGGUAGCAGGGAUGAUACACUGGAACAUCUGCAAAAAAUACAAACUACCUGUAGCCAAAAAUUGGUGGGACCAUAACAUUGAAAAAGUGGUAGAAGAUGAAGAUGUAAAAAUAUUAUGGGACUUCCGACUACAAAGACAAACAUCUGCCACACAAUACACCAGAUAUAACUGUAGUCAAGAAGAAAGAAAAACGUCAAAAUAAUCGACAUAGCAAUACCAGGGGAUAGCAGAAUAGAAGAAAAAGAAAUAGAAAAAAAUCACCAAAUACAAAGAUCUACAAAUUGAAAUUGAAAGGCUGUGGCAGAAAAAGACCAAAGUAAUCCCAGUGGUAAUUGGCGCCCUGGGUGCCGUUCCAAAAAACCUUGAAGAGCACCUCAACACCAUAGGGGCCACAGAAAUCACCAUCAGCCAAUUACAAAAAGCAACUUUACUGGGAACAACCUAUAUUCUGUGAUGAUAUCUAUAAAAACAGCAACAACAUUGACAAUAAAAUUCAGAAACCCCAGGUCCUUGGGAAGGAUUUGAUGUCUGGAUAAAACAAACCAGUCAAUAACACCUGUGUGACUGCGAAAACAAACAAACAAACAAACAAACAAACAAACAAACAAUUUCAGCCUUUUUAUUGCACCUAUUAACCAAACAUUAAAAUUAAAACAGGGACAGGAAUCCAGGCAUGGCUCUCUCACUUCCCUGCUGCUAUUCAUAAUCAUCUCUAGCUCCAAACUAGAUCUUAAGUCAUGAAGAACAACAACAACUCUUAACUCACUGGCCAGCACUGACUUGUCCCUGACAAGACUGAAAAGUCCGUGACUUUUCUCUCAGCCUAACCCGCCUCACAGGCUUGUUGUGAGGAUAAAUAAGGUCCCUGUUUUUCAAAUUCACACUCUGUUGGACCAAGUUCAGAGAACUCAGGGUAUGUGUACCAGGUGAAACCCUCCAGAACAUUGAAGCUAUGGAAAAGGUUGGAAGAUACCUGUGAACUGAUGAGAUUGGAAGACCUCGCCAGCCAAUGUACAGUCCAGUGGGAUCUGGCCAACUGAUGAAUGUGAAGAAGUCAUUCAGCUCUACUAACCUGUCUCUAAGAAAUAACCACCUAGAAUAGGGAUGUCAAACUCCCAGUCUGAGGAACAGAUCUGGCCUGUGAAGCUCCAGCCCCCAGGCAGGUCCAGCUGAUCCCUGCUGUGACUGCAGACACAUUCACUGUUUUCCCCGUUGCCUGAGCAGGGGCCAAUAAGACAAUCACCACCAUGACCAAAAAGCAGCUAUUAUCCAGCCCCCGUCUUUCCCCUGCCAGCUUGCCUGUGUUUCCCCCAAUGAGCAGGGGCCAGGAACUCACGGCCAAGGGGAGCCAUCACCCAGUCCUUUUCCCUGCAGUUCCUGUCUUUCCCCCAACAGAACACUGCCAAUCCCAAUGCUUUCUUCAUUUUGCCCAAAAAAUUCCUAUAAACCAUCUUUUAACUGUU